rnacentral:rRNA from 1 species
GUGCCAGCAGCCGCGGUAAUACGAGGGGGGCGAGCGUUGUUCGGAAUUAUUGGGCGUAAAGGGUGCGUAGGCGGUUUGGUAAGUCUUAUGUGAAAUCUACAGGCUCAACUUGUAGUCUGCAUGAGAAACUGCCGGGCUUGAGUAUGGGAGAGGUGAGUGGAAUUCCUGGUGUAGCGGUGAAAUGCGUAGAUAUCAGGAGGAACACCUGUGGCGAAAGCGGCUCACUGGACCAUAACUGACGCUGAUGCACGAAAGCUAGGGGAGCAAACAGGAUUAGAAACCCUGGUAGUCC